AUUGAACGCUGGCGGCAUGCUUUACACAUGCCAGUCGAACGGCAGCGCGGGCUUCGGCCUGGCGGCGAGUGGCGAACGGGUGAGUAAUACAUCGGAACGUGCCCAGGAGUGGGGGAUAGCUCGGCGAAAGCCGGAUUAAUACCGCAUACGACCUGAGGGCGAAAGCGGGGGAUCUUCGGACCUCGCGCUAUUGGAGCGGCCGAUGGCAGAUUAGCUAGUUGGUGGGGUAAAGGCCUACCAAGGCGACGAUCUGUAGCUGGUCUGAGAGGACGACCAGCCAGACUGGGACUGAGACACGGCCCAGACUCCUACGGGAGGCAGCAGUGGGGAAUUUUGGACAAUGGGCGAAAGCCUGAUCCAGCAAUGCCGCGUGUGUGAUGAAGGCCUUCGGGUUGGAAAGCACUUUUGGCGGGAACGAAAAGGACUGUGCCAAUACCACGGUUCGAUGACGGUACCCGCAGAAUAAGCACCGGCUAACUACGUG
rnacentral:rRNA from 1 species